GAUGAACGCUGGCGGCGUGCCUAAUACAUGCAAGUCGAGCGAACGGACGAGAAGCUUGCUUCUCUGAUGUUAGCGGCGGACGGGUGAGUAACACGUGGAUAACCUACCUAUAAGACUGGGAUAACUUCGGGAAACCGGAGCUAAUACCGGAUGAUAUUUUGAACCGCAUGGUUCAAAAGUGAAAGACGGUCUUGCUGUCACUUAUAGAUGGAUCCGCGCUGCAUUAGCUAGUUGGUAAGGUAACGGCUUACCAAGGCAACGAUGCAUAGCCGACCUGAGAGGGUGAUCGGCCACACUGGAACUGAGACACGGUCCAGACUCCUACGGGAGGCAGCAGUAGGGAAUCUUCGGCAAUGGGCGAAAGCCUGACGGAGCAACGCCGCGUGAGUGAUGAAGGUCUUCGGAUCGUAAAACUCUGUUAUUAGGGAAGAACAGAUGUGGAAGUAACUGUGGACAUCUUGACGGUACCUAAUCAGAAAGCCACGGCUAACUACGUG
rnacentral:rRNA from 1 species